rnacentral:rRNA from 1 species
UGCGCAGGCGGAAUGAUUAGUCAGUGGUGAAAUCCUACAGCUCAACCGUAGAACUGCCAUUGAUACUGUCAUUCUUGAGUACAGUGGAAGUGGGCGGAAUGUAUCAUGUAGCGGUGAAAUGCAUAGAUAUGAUACAGAACACCGAUAGCGAAAGCAGCUCACUAUACUGUAACUGACGCUCAGGCACGAAAGCGUGGGGAGCAAACAGGAUUAGAUACCCUGGUAGUCC